UACGGGGGGGGCAAGCGUUGUUCGGAAUUACUGGGCGUAAAGGGCUCGUAGGCGGCCAACUAAGUCAGACGUGAAAUCCCUCGGCUUAACCUGGGAAUUGCGCUUGAUACUCUGAGACUGGAGUACGGGAGAGGAGAGUGGAAUUCCUGGUGUAGCGGUGGAAUGCGCAGAUAUCAGGAAGAACACCCGUGGCGAAGGCGGCUCUCUGGAACGCAACUGACGCUGAGACGCGAAAGCGUGGGGAGCAAACAGG
rnacentral:rRNA from 1 species